rnacentral:rRNA from 1 species
CCCUUAGAUGUUCUGGGCUGCACGCGCGCUACACUGACGCACGCAACAGGUGCCUGCUCCGAGAGGACUGGGUAAUCAUUUGAGUGUGCGUCGUGAUGGGGAUAGAAUAUUGUAAUUAUUACUCUUCAACGAGGAAUUCCUAGUAAGUGCCAGUCAGCAGCUUGCGCUGAUUACGUCCCUGCCCUUUGUACACACCGCCCGUCGCUCCUACCGAUGGGUGAUCCGGUGAAUGAUUCGGACUUCAGCGGCUCCCCUGGGGUGCGCCGGAGAAAGUUUUGUGAACCUUAUCACUUGGAGGAAGGAGAAGUCGUAACA